UGGGGAAUUUUGCACAAUGGGGGAAACCCUGAUGCAGCGACGCCGCGUGAUUUAGAAGGCCUUCGGGUUGUAAAAAUCUUUUCUUUGGGAAGAAAAUGACAGUACCAUAGGAAUAAGGACCGGCUAAUUACGUGCCAGCAGCCGCGGUAAUACGUAAGGUACGAGCGUUGUCCGGAAUCAUUGGGCGUAAAGGGUACGUAGGCGGGUAAGCAAGUUAGAAGUGAAAUCCUUUAGCUCAACUACAGUAUGCUUUUAAAACUGGCAAUCUUGAGAUAUGGAAGGGAAAAUGGAAUUCCUAAUGUAGCGGUGAAAUGCGCAGAUAUUAGGAGGAAUAUCGGUGGCGAAGGCGACUUUCUGGCCAUUAUCUGACGCUGGGGUACGAAAGCGUGGGUAGCAAACAGG
rnacentral:rRNA from 1 species